UAGGAUCGGAGGAAUACCAUGGGGAAGGCACCCAUCUGGCUUAAUACUGAUGCUGAGGUAAGAAAGCAUGGGGGGCAAACAGGAUUAGAUCCCAGGUAGUUCAUGCGUAAACGAUGUCUACUAGCCGUUGGGGCGGUGAGGCUUUAUUGGCGCAGCUAACGCGAUAAGUAGACCGCGUGGGGAGUACGGUCGCAAGACUAAAACUCAAAUGAAUUGACGGGGGCCCGCACAAGCGGUGGAGCAUGUGGUUUAAUUCGAUGCAACGCGAAGACCCUUACCUGGCCUUGACAUACUAGAAACUUUCCAGAGAUGGAUUGGUCCCUUCGGGAAUCUAGAUACAGGUGCUGCAUGGCUGUCGUCAGCUCUUGUCGUGAGAUGUUGGGUUAAGUCCCGCAACGAGCGCAACCCUUUUCCUUACUUGCCAGCAUUUGGGAUGGGAACUUUAAGGAUACUGCCAGUGACAAACUGGAGGAAGGCGGGGACGACGUCAAGUCAUCAUGGCCCUUACGGCCAGGGUUACACACGUGCUACAAUGGUCGGUACAAAGGGUUGCUACACACCGAUGUGAUGCUAAUCUCAAAAAGCCGAUCGUAGUCCGGAUUGGAGUCUGCAACUCGACUCCAUGAAGUCGGAAUCGCUAGUAAUCGCGGAUCAGAAUGCCGCGGUGAAUACGUUCCCGGGCCUUGUACACACCGCCCGUCACACCAUGGGAGUUUGUUGCACCAGAAGUAGGUAGUCUAACCGCAAGGAGGACGCUUACCACGGUGUGCCGA
rnacentral:rRNA from 1 species